AAUCUGGGGCCCACGGCCUCCGAGUUGUAAUUUGGAGAGGCAUCUUCGGGGGGGAGCGCCGGCCCAUGUUCCUUGGAACAGGACGUCACAGAGGGUGAGAAUCCCGUGCCAGGCCGGCUGCCUCCUCCCGGGUGAAGGGCCUUCGACGAGUCGAGUUGUUUGGGAAUGCAGCUCCAAGUGGGUGGUAAAUUUCAUCUAAAGCUAAAUACUGGCGGGAGACCGAUAGCGCACAAGUAGAGUGAUCGAAAGAUGAAAAGCACUUUGAAAAUAGAGUCAAAAAGUACGUGAAAUUGUUGAAAGGGAAGCGCUUGAGACCAGACUCAGGCCCGGGCAAACAUCUCGCCCCUCGGGGCCGUGCAAUUGCCCGGGGCUGGGCCAGCAUCAGUUGGCGUGGCGGGACAAAGGCGCGGGGAAUGUGGCUCCCCUCGGGGAGUGUUAUUAGGCCCGCGCUGGAUGCCGCCGACGCCGACUGAGGACCGCGCCUCGGCUAGGAUGCUGGCUUAAUGGCCUUCAGCGACCCGUCUUGAAACACGGACCAAGGAGUCUAACAUCUAUGCGAGUGUUUGGGCGCCAAACCCUUGCGCGGAAUGAAAGUGAGCGGAGGUGGGAACCCCCCCGCGGGGCGCACCAUCGACCGAUCCUGAUGUCUUCGGAUGGAUUUGAGUA
rnacentral:rRNA from 1 species